CCAGGUGGAUUUGAUAUUCUUAGGGGAGGCUGUUUAAAAUGACGAAGUGAAGAAGUUCUUUUUGGCACCUUAUUGGGCUUAAAUGGGCAAACACACACAACAUUGAUACAUAUAUUGAAUAACGAUUAAACUGUCUGUAUUUGCAGAAACCAUCCCUAUACAUGUGAUGGGAAAAAAGGGAGGCAGCGUCAUCCUGCCAUGUGAAUUAAAGGCCAGAGAUAUUUUUCAUAUUCGUUUAAACAGACAAUCAAAAAACAUCCUUGUUUAUCAAAAUAAAUACUGCAGUAAAGGAGUAUGUAAAAAAGAAGCCUGUGAUGUCAUCAUCAAUGAUUUGAGCUUCAGUGAUGCUGGGAAAUACAUUUUGGAUAUCUAUUACAUUAAUGCUAAGUCAGUGCUGGAGCCACAAAUCAGGACAUACCAACUACAUAUUUACGAUGAUAUUUUUGUGAAAAUAGGUGAAACGCUAAAGUUGGAUGUUUUGUUGCCAGAUGCUCAUCAAGUUAUGCAUCAAAACAAAAGCAGCACAGAAUGGAAGAAGGUCUGGAAGAGAGACAGCAAGAAAAGAGUUAAAAUAACACACGAUCGACUGAACGACACUGAUGGGACUCUGAGCAUUAAAGAGUUUACGGCUGAUGAUGCAGGAACAUACAGAGUUCUGGGCUAUGAAGGAGAAAUCCUGAUCACAGUGACAGUCACAGAUGAGAAAAAUUCAAAGGGAAAACUGAACGACACGGAUGAUGACAAAAAACGUAGUAAGUAAAAUAGCUGCCAUUGAGAGCUCCCAAAAUCUUCAAACAGUAAGCAUAAAAAUGAAAAUAUAUAAACAAAUAUAUAAAUAAAAAUGUUCUUUUUUCCCA
ensembl:lncRNA